CCUUCCUUCCUUCUUUCCUUUUUGAGAGAAGGUCUCUCUGUAUGGCCCAGGCUGGCCUUGAACCUGUGAACCUCUUGACUCUUACCGAGUGCCGAGAUUGCUUAUGUGCACCACUGUGCCUGGCUUCCAUGAUCUCUAGAGACCCUUCCUAAAGAUUUUUUCUAUAUUACUACUAGCGACCAUGGGGACUUCCCUGGUCGGGGCAGCUGCUGGGGACUGGGGAGAUGUACAGAGGCUGUACAGAACUGGCCCUGCUCCUCACCGGCUACUGGGCUUUGGAGAGCUGGCCCCACCUCUUACCAUGGGCAACCCUGGGAAGAGUGAGCCCUGUGCUUUGCCUGAACAGUGCAGCAGAGUUGACCCUGGUGGUCGGGGUGCAGGGGAACCAGCACCAAGGGUGAGAGCAUGGAAGAGCUGGUCUGACCACUCCUCUGCCACAAGAUGGUGUGGGAUAGGGCAAUGCCCUUCCUUGCUUCCUCCCUUGCUACUUGGGGCAGUUGGGAGAGCUGGCCCUGGGAUCAUGAGAUCAAGUGAGCUGGCCCUACCUUUUUACUAGCUGCAGCACUCAGGAGAGUAAGCCUGUGUCCUUCUCACCUAGUAUGCUGACCCUGGUAGAGAGAGCAUGGGUGAACUGGCUUGAGCUAGCCUUUUUUCCUGCCAAUGAUGGCAUUGGGUAGCCUACCCAGAGCAGUACUGGAGAACUCACCUUGGUGGUGUGGAUAAGGAAAAGGUGACAGGCUGACCAGUUUAGUUACCACCCAGACCCAGAUCCAGAAUUCAGAGUUGGCCUGUCCCCAAAUCUAUGUUAUAUGUGAGCGGUUGGGCCAGUCCUGCUGACCCAAAACUGCAGGAUCUCCAUGACACAGGGCAACAGCAAGAUGAUGGGGAAGAGUCCCCAUGCUGGUCCAAUAUUGAUGGUGUUAUGGAAACCAAAGACCUUGAGAGGAUGGGGAGAUGAGGAGGACUGGGGUGCAUGAUGUGAAACUAACAAAAAAUCAAAAAGUUUUAAAAAACAAAAUAUAAAAAUGAAAGAUACAAGACUUCCAAACUGACAUUCACGGCCAUCAUCACCAUCACCACCACCAUCAUCACCAUCAUCAUCAUCUCUAUUGAUGUCAUUGGAUAUCAUGAUAAUCAUCACCACCAUCAUCAUCACGAUCACUAUCCUCUCCAUUGAUGUCAUUGUCAUCAUCAUUUGGUAAUUUCAGAAUCAUAGAAUCAUACAUCUCCCACAUGAGAGUCUUCUAGUGUGGGUGAUUCAUCUCAUGGGAAUCUGGCGUCAGUUCAGAAGAGACUACUUCUGGGUAUUUAGCAGCCAAGGCUAUGAUUUCAACAGCUGAAAACGGCGUGCCCACUAUAAUACAAUAUGUCAAAGCGAUCGUAAGUUUUAUAACAAUAAUAAUGUUAACUGUUAUAUCAUUUGACUGUGAAUUUCGCCUAGUAAUCUGGUCAGCACACAAAGUGAAUUGACACCACAUGCUGCAAAGAAAAUAAUCUACAAGGACCUUUCGGUAACCUGUCAGUCACUCUCCCAAUGGGCACGUUCAAAGCAGCUAAGGAUGUCUGUAGAGUGCUUCUUCAGAGAGCCCUUACAGAAGCUAGUCUGCUUUUGAUGGAUGAACACUUUCCCCAGGGCCAUGGAGUGACUAAUGCUUGGCCUAACAUCUGGUCCUCUUCGCAGCCAGUUUUCUUUUCUACAUAAAGAACCAACUCCUUCAUCCCACUCUGGAUUCCUUUCCAAGUUGCUGUGGGUCUCAUGGCCCUCACUGGCUGGUUUAGAUGAAUCAUCCAGCACUGAAGAGCUGUCACACACCCCUACUUAAGAGGAGAUCCCUGUAGAAUCUGCCUUCUCAGAAUCCUCUCUUUUUUAUGUUCGUUUUGCCUAAUCAAAGGGUCAGAAUUUUGCUUGUGCCUAUUCAUGAUGAUCUCCGAAACUUUAUCAGGACUUUAUCAGGAGGUUCAUAGAAAUGGCCUUUUAAUACAUUUAUUUUCUAAUAGAGAUAUGGAUAGAAUUUAAAAGUCAAAUUCAUUUGCUAGUGUCAAUAAUAGAGCCAGCCCAACUCUGGAACUCAACUUUUUACUCUUGCUUCCUGGUCCUCAAGGUAAACACUGUCUAGUCUUUCAAAUAUGUCUUCUAUCUCUUGGAAAAUAUAUUUUAUGUUCCUGUUUUCAAAUGUUCAGUUUCCUAUACUGUGUAUUGACUCUCCCUUCUGAAAUACAAUUUCUUAGCUCCUGACUUUGCACUCACUCUAAGGUACUCAUGUACACAACUCAUCCUGUCAUCCCUCAGGGCUGUCUAUCAGAUACCUGUUACUGCACACAAGUUACUGCAGAAGCUAGCGCCAUGAAGGAACAAACAUUUACUCUUGUCCUAUUGAUGUGGGACGGGGACAUGGAUCAUUUAACUGAGCAGUCCUGGUUCAGACUCCUCCAUGAACUUGAAGACGCCUGAGGAUUCUUAGUGCGUCUGCGAGCCCCUUUGACUUGUAAGGGACAUCCACAGGUUCCCAUCACUCUCCCCACUAUGACUGUGGGCUCAUCAGUCAUGUUCUGCAACAUGUGUCAGAGCCAAUCAAAAUCACGGCUCCUUUCUCUGCAGCUUUUCUAUUCUCUUUGGUGCUAAACUUGUGUCUCUUUCCCCAUGUGCUUACUUUUAGGGUUCUGAUCAUCAGUCCUUCCGUGAGCUGUGAACAAAGCCGGCAUUCGUCCCUAACCGUACCAGCUCCAUCCUCUCCCUAGCUAUAGUCCUCGAGUCUCUCUUCUUCCUGUUUGGAUUCGUCUCCAUGGGCUUACAGCACAGACACUGUCUUGGGAUUUUCCACCAUUCUUAUCCAAAGGUUUCAUUUUCCUAACACUUGCUUUUUACAUUUUGAUUUCUUUUUCCGUUAAUAGGUAUCGACUGCAUGUAUUAGUGGGGCCUGAUGUGAUGUUCAGCUCAUGCAUACAGCAUGUCUGUACCAGCUUGUCUCCUCAUCCCACUUUCCCUUCCGCCCACCCUAGCACUCUGGAAGUCACGAUUCAACUUUGACACUUUUAAAGUUUCCACAAACGAGAGCAUCCACAGGGUGGUAUGGUAUGCCCAUUGUGUGACAGGAAUCCAUUCGUCUUUAUGGCUAUGUAACAUUCAAUUACACACACACACACACACACACACACACACACACACACACACACACCACCUUCCUUCACCGAUUCCUGGGCAGUCAAGUUGACUCCAUAGCUUAGAUAACUGUAAAAAGGCACUUCGGUAAAUUACACAGGCACCGGCAUGCAGGUACCUGGUGUGUAGAUUUGUUUCCUCUGCACAUAUAGCCUGAAGUGAGGUAGUUGGAUCACAGGAUUUUCCACAGUGGCUGAACCAACUUACAUUUUUCUGCCAGCAGUGUUUGAGAGUUCUGUAUCUUCACCAGCAUUUACCCUUCUAACCUUUUGCCAAUAACCACUUUACCGGGAAUGAGAUGGUACCUCACCAUCGUUUUGACUUUCAUUUCUCUGAAAUUUAAAAUUGGAUAUUUAAAAAUACCACUGUUGGUCAUUCUGCAUUUCUUUAUUUGAAAAAUAAAUGUCUGUUGGGAUCCUGUGGCCAUUUUUAGAUGCAAAUUCUUUGUGGGUUUCGUUAUCUCUUGUUGCCGUUGUUACUAAGUUCUCUGAGCAUCCUCUAGACUCUGGAUAUAAAUCCUUUGGCGGGUGAACAGCGGGCGACUCCCUGGUUCUGGACCACAGGGCGUGGAUGCUCGUAGAGCUGCUUCAGUGGCCUUUCUGCCAAGUUGACUUUCGUUGGUGGGGAACAUGGAAAUUGGAGGGAGAGGAGAUGAUGUAGGGGUAUCUUUUCUCCAGAUUGGUCCUCGCUGGGUGGACACGCCCCCUGUUUCUGACGUCAGGACUCAGCUUCCCACUCUUCCAUCCUCCGGCUACUCCCACGGUCCACGAGCAGGUUCCUUGCGCUUCCGUUACUGGCUUCUUUGGGGCUGGUGAGCUGCCAUGAGGUAAACAGCUUCCUCCGACACACUCUCCACUGUGAUUCUCGAGUGACUCUUACGGCAGAAAGCACUUUGCUGAGGAUAAUUGACUGUGUUCCAGGACUACCUGUAAAACAGAAACAUUGUAACAGAAGAGAACACUGCCCGGUGCUGGGAAUGCUGUCCCGGACAGAGUUCAGCUUCUACUAUUGCAGCUCAAGUAGUCUGACCAUUUGGUAAGAGCAUUUGGGGAGGUGGGUGUCUUCAUGAAGAUCGGAAAGUUCAGCCUUAUUGACUAGAUGUCCGUCUCCGUCCAUUUCCUGUGACAGUGAUGGUCCAGGGGACAAACCAGAUAAAUUAAGUCUACUGGCGACCGACCUCCAGGCUGUAUCCAGCUAGUAGCUUCAUUAUUGUUUGCCUCCUAGGCCUUGUGAUUCUUUUUCUAAGCUAGAGCCACAGACGGUUUAAUGGGCUUUGCAGAGGUCUGUCCUCACCCCCGAAAAGCUGUUGUGGGAUGACCCUAGCAAGCAGCAGAUAGCCUGGAGACUGCCAUCUGGGAGAAAGAGCUAGUGAGCAGCAGAGACUUAACUCCCUUCUGAAGAAAUAAUCGAGAGUAUUCUCCCUGUAGAAAAGCACAGUAACGGAGUCCUAGUCAAACUCACAAGGUUCUCCAUGGGCAGCAGAGACCCCAGGGACGUCAAGGAGAGCGAAUACUGUUCUCCUGCCUUUGAUGGAACCAAACAGAGCAAUCGAUGCUUCAUGAUUUUCAUAAACUGGGGGACCAGCAGACACCUGAGCUCCUGGUGGAGGAUUCUAGUAGCUCCAGAUGAAUCCUGAGGCAGCAGGAUCUUUGGCUCUCAAGAACAAUCUAGAACAUGUUCACCUGAAGGUGCAUCUGCUGUGGGAAGGAAGGCUCCCGAGUCCAAUGUGGGUAGAUCCUGAAGAAGACUCCAGAGACAGGGUGUUGAGGAAGGAGAGGUGUCUACAUAAGCUCCCCCAUGAAGCAGAGAGCCCUGAGGUGAUGAAGAGGGAGUGACUAAUGACAGGAGUAUUUCCCAGCCUCACCCUGCCUUCAUCACUGGGAUGCUAAGCCCAGGCUUUAAGGAACAGAUCCACUUAAAGGUCCUUGGGGUUCAGAAAAGUCUAGCUUGGACCGCACUGAAAAGAUAGAAUUGGAAACAGGCAGCCCCUAUUCAAAUUCACUUUGUAUGCAGCAGACUGCCCUAUUUUGGACUGGUGCUCAGAGGAGCACCAGCCGUGGAUGGCUGAUCUUCUAUCCAGUGUGGUAGAAAGAAUGCCCGUUCUCCAGCCUACUCAUAGCUAGAAGCACUUCCACACUCCCCAGGAUUGGAGACACACUCUGGGCCUAACACAGGACCUCUCUGUAUUAUUAGGAUACAUGUCCCUCGAGAUACCUAGUUAUAUUUGAUGCUUGAUUCUCCUGCACAGUGCCCCUGUACUGAGGACCAGCUUCCUGGGGGACAUUCUUGUUUUUCAGACAGUUCAUUUCUACUACAUAAGGUGGUUUUCAGCCCCACCAUUCCCUCAGUUGUUGUCUGAUCAGUGGAGGACAGAACAUACCAGUGCUCGACUAUGAAACAGAUGUCUAGUGACUGGAGGCAUGUGGCUCAUUCCCUCAUGUCUUCUCUUAACCAGGAAUCCGGUUGCCCAUUUGAUUUGGUUUAGCUUGGAUGUAAGUUCUCUCACCACGCUGCAGUUCUCCCUAGGCUAUGUUGCUGGUGGGAUAGCAAUAUUAGCAACACGUACAUCACCGUGACCGAAAUGCUUGUGCUGCCCAAGGUGUCAGAAUUUAAAAUAAAGAUGGGAACAAACCUCUGGCAAUGUCUUGUAAGUGAACUUCUAGAUUAGAUUAAUGUAGAUGAGAAGACCUACUCUAAAUGUAGGCAGUACCAGUCCACGGACUAGAGUCCCGAGCUUGAUAAAGAGAAGGAAACAGGGCUGGACAGAUGGCUCCAUGGUUAAGAGCAUUUGCUGCCACUGCAAGGGGUCAAGGUAUUGUUCAAAUCACCUACAUGGUGGCUCACAACCACCUGUAACUUCCAGAGAAUCUAACACCCUCUUCUGACCUCUA
rnacentral:sRNA from 1 species